UCGACGAAUCCCCGUGGGGGUAACUCUGCGGGGGGAAGUGGCGAAAGGGGCAGUAAGGCGUGGCUAACCUACCCCGGGGACGGGGAUAGCCUCCCUAACGGGAGGGUAAUACCCGGCGAGUCGGCGGGAAGGCAUCUUCCUGCCGGGAAACGAGUUUCGCCUCGGGAGGGGGUCACGUGCUAUUACCUGGUUGGCGGGGUAACGGCCCACCAAGGGGAAGAUGGCUAGCGGGUGUGAGAGCACGACCCGCGCCACUGGCACUGAGACACUGGCCAGACUCCUACGGGAGGCUGCAGUCGAGGAUCUUCGGCAAUGGGCGCAAGCCUGACCGAGCGACGCCGCGUGUGCGACGAAGGCCUUCGGGUUGUAAAGCACUGUCGAGGGGGAGGAAAGCCGCAAGGCCUGACCUAUCCCUGGAGGAAGCACGGGCUAAGUUCGUGCCAGCAGCCGCGGUAAGACGAACCGUGCGAACGUUGUUCGGAAUCACUGGGCUUAAAGGGCGCGUAGGCGGCUUCGCAAGUCGGGGGUGAAAUCUUUCGGCUCAACCGGAAAAGUGCCCCCGAUACUGCGGAGCUCGAGGGGGAUAGGGGCGGACGGAACUUCCGGUGGAGCGGUGAAAUGCGUUGAUAUCGGAAGGAACGCCGGUGGCGAAAGCGGUCCGCUGGGUCCCUACUGACGCUGAGCGCGAAAGCCAGGGGAGCAAACGGGAUUAGAUACCCCGGUAGUCCUGGCCCUAAACGAUGGGUACUAGGCUGUGGGCUUGACAUGGGCUCCCAGCCGAAGCAAAAGUGUAGUACCCCGCGGGGAGUAUGGUCGCAGGCUGAAACUCAAAGGAAUGACGGGGCU
rnacentral:rRNA from 1 species